CAAACCCACCAGUGGAACGUGCAUCCAGCCGGCUCAGGCCUUCCACCCGGAGCGUUCCAGUAAAAUCCCCCUCGUAACAUUCCUCUCGGCGAGCUAGGUAAACACACAAGAGAAUCCACAUCUCCAAGGAAGCCAGGAGGAGCGCAGGCCAUGCACAGGCACGGAGGCGGACAUGGCUUUUUCCCGCCGGAUAACGUUCAGGGUCAAAUCACUGGAGAUCGAGUGAGUUCUCUCUCUGUUGAGAAGUUCGCUUGUCUUUCACCUUUCCUCAGUGGGACGCAAACACAUGAAGGCUUGCGUGUGCUGAUGGGAUCCACGGAGCCAAAAAAGCCUCCAUGGAAUACACGUUUAUAAUCUGAGGAAAACAAGAAGUCAAUUUGGCAUUGAUUCUGGAUAACUAGCUAAAGUUACAGGCUACAGCAACAAAACGUCAACAUCACUCACCAGGCUGCAGCCCAGCACUUUGAAGAGGAGGCGGGAGAGCCAUAAAGCGGGAACGUUUCAGCCGAGGCUUAAACCGAGCCUCCCAGCGGAAUGAAAGAGGCCAUGUGUCUGAAGAGGUCGUCACUCGGGGAAAACAGAGCUGGGUGUUUGUUGUCACGUGUGGGUCGCAUUUUACUGCGGGAUCGUUCCUCCAGUGCAAACAUGGACACUCCGGACAACAACGUGAAGGU